rnacentral:rRNA from 1 species
CCUACGGGUGGCAGCAGUGAGGAAUAUUGGUCAAUGGACGCAAGUCUGAACCAGCCAUGCCGCGUGCAGGACGACGGCUCUAUGAGUUGUAAACUGCUUUUGUACGAGGGUAAACGCAGAUACGUGUAUCUGUCUGAAAGUACUGUACGAAUAAGGAUCGGCUAACUCCGUGCCAGCAGCCGCGGUAAUACGGAGGAUUCAAGCGUUAUCCGGAUUUAUUGGGUUUAAAGGGUGCGUAGGCGGUCUGAUAAGUUAGAGGUGAAAUCCCGGGGCUUAACUUCGGAACGGCCUCUGAUACUGGUCGGCUAGAGAGUAGGUGCGGUAGGCGGAAUGUAUGGUGUAGCGGUGAAAUGCUUAGAGAUCAUACAGAACACCGAUUGCGAAGGCAGCGUACCAAGCUACUUCUGACGUUGAGGCACGAAAGCGUGGGGAGCAAACAGGAUUAGAUACCCUAGUAGUC